UACGUAGGGGGCGAGCGUUAAUCGGAAUUACUGGGCGUAAAGCGUGCGCAGGCGGUUAUGCAAGACAGAUGUGAAAUCCCCGGGCUCAACCUGGGAACUGCAUUUGUGACUGCAUGGCUAGAGUACGGUAGAGGGGGAUGGAAUUCCGCGUGUAGCAGUGAAAUGCGUAGAUAUGCGGAGGAACACCGGUGGCGAAGGCGGCUUCCUGGUCUGCAACUGACGCUGUGGCGCGAAAGCUAGGGGAGCAAACGGG
rnacentral:rRNA from 1 species